rnacentral:tRNA from 1 species
AGGGGCUUAGGAUAAUAUUAAACCAAGAGCCUUCAAAGCCCUAAAUGUGGGUGAAAAUCCCUCAGCCCCUG